GUCAGGAUGGCCGAGUGGUCUAAGGCGCCAGACUCAAGCGUUGGCUUCUCUCAUUGAGGGUUCUGGUCUCCGAAUGGAGGCGUGGGUUCGAAUCCCACUUCUGACA
rnacentral:tRNA from 1 species